AAUCAGGACGCAAUGAAUAACCUAAGCAAAUACUGCAGAGCAUUCUAUCCGACGCACUGACCACUGCACCAAUACCCUGCCAUAUUUUAAGUCCUAGGAAAUCGAUUGAGUCGUCUAUUGACACCAUGAUUCUCGUUUUCUCGAAUCAAUAAAUUAAAACAGAACAGAAAUACGGGUACCCGUUUAACUGAUUGGUAAUCUCCAGCCACCACCACAACUGAAGCUAGGAACUUGUAUCAAUGUGAGAAACUAUAUAUAUGGUUCUGCGUGGCACCUUUGGCAGGUGUCUUCUACUAUAGCUUUGGGCUGACCGAAGUCUUGUGAGUGGAUUUGAUAGACAGAAACUUGUUUGUGUGUGUGUGUAUGUGUGUGUGUGUGUCCUAUCACCGCUUGACAAAUGGUAUUGGUGUGUUUACGUCCCCGUCAUCUAGCGGUCCGGCAAAUGAAACUAAUGCAAUAAUCACAAAGCUUUUUUAAAAAACUAAGUACUGGGAGCAAUUCAUUCGACUUAUGAUUCUUUUGGUCGCUGCCCCAGCAUGGCCACGGAUUAAUGAUAGAAACAAGUAAAGGAUAAAAGAAAAUAGAUUUUUCUAUAUUUUACUUGUUUCAGACAUUAAACUGCAGCCAUGCUGGGGCACCGCCUUCAAGAAAUUUUAGUCGACUGAUUCGACCCCGGUGAGACUGACGUAAUUUUAUUGAUAUGAGUGACGGAAACUAAAGGAAGCCCGUCGUGCACCCCAACAUAAAAGAUCUUUUCUAUAUUUUACUUGUUUCGGUCAUUGAACUACAGUCAUGCCGGGGCACCGAUUUAAAGGGUUUUAGUAGAACAAAUGGACUGCCGGUACUAUUGUUUUUAAAGUCUGGUUUAUUUUAUCGGUGCAUUUUGGCGAACCGCUUCAGUAACGGCGACGUAAACGAACUAGUACCGGUUAAGCGGUGGCAGGGAAGUGAUGUACAGACAUAAGCGCGCACACACACACACACGCACACACACACACACACACAUACACACACGCACGCACAUGCAAACACACACACACGUACGUAUAUAUCUUUGAUCUCUUCUGCGGCUAUGCUGGAGCACACGACGGGCUUCUUUUAGUUUCCGUCUAUCAAAUCUACUCACAAGACUUCGGUCACCCAAAUGCUAUAGUAGAAGCCACUUGCUUAAGUGUUGCGCAGUGGAAUUGAAACUGUAUCCAUGUGAUUGGGAAACAAACUUCUUACCACGCAUUCAUGCCAGCUCUUUUUUUUUUUUGCUCCUUUUACUUGUUUCAGUCAUUAGACUACGGCCAUACUAGGGCACUGCCUUGAAAUAUUUUAGUCGAAUGAAUUCCGCCCCCACCCCACUACUUAUUUUUUAAGCCUCACACUCAAUCUAUCGGUAUCUUUUGCCGAACCGCUAAGUUACAGGAACAGAAACAUGCCAACACUAGUUGUGAAGCGAUGGUGGGAGAAAAACACACACGCACACACGACGGGCUUCUUUCAGUUUCCAUCUACCAAACCAUUUGUCGGCCCGAGUCUAUAGUAGAAGUCAUUCGCCCAAGGUGCCACGCAGUGGGAUUGAACCCGGAGCUAUGUGGUUGGGAAACAAAUUUUUACCACACAGCCCCGCCUGCGCUUAUUUGUUAAAUUUAUUUUACUCGUUUUUACUUCUUCUUUUUUUAAAAUUUAUUUAUGUGUUUAUAUAUAGUUUCUUUCUGUUUGUUUUGCAGUUUGAAGAGUCCAUCCCGUCAAAAGUGAAAUGGCAAGCUGUAUGUACCCGUGGUUAUCAGCUGGUAGUUACCCAGGUUUGAUGAAUGCUUCAUGCCGGCGAAUGAGCAUCGUGCAUCCGAUGGCCAGCGGCGGCGGCGGCGGUGGCGGUUGCAGCGGCGGUAGCAGCGGUGGCGUCAGCAGCAGCAGCAGCAGCAGCAGCGGUAGCAAUAACAAUAGCAACAACAACCGCAGCGACAGCAAUGACAACAACAAUCGCAACAGGAUCGGCAGUAACUAUGGUGGUGGUCGUCGUCGUGGUGGUGAUGGUGGUGGUGGUGGUGGUGGUGGUGGCGGCGGCGGCGGCGGCGGCGGCGGCGGCGGUGGUGUGAGAAGUGAAGGCGGAGGUGGUGGUGGUGGUGGUGUUGUUCGUAGUCCGAGUAUUAGUAACAGUAGUCACAGUAGAAGCAUCAGUGGCAGAAUUAGUAGUAGUAGUAGUAGUAGUAGUAGUAGUAGUAGUAGUAGUAGUAGUAGUAACGUGAAUAGCGUCAACGAUGGCAACAAUAACAACAACCACAACUAUAGCUGCUAUGGGGAUAUCUUUGUCAUAGCGGACAGCGGUAACAACAAUAACAACAACAACAACAACAGAAGUAGCCAUAACAACAACAACAGCAGCAGCAGCAGCAGCAACGGCAGGAGCAUGCAAAUUGCCACCGGUAAAGAGGAAGACGAACAAAAAGAUAGCAAAGAUGUAGAGGUAUUAGAAAUAGAAGAGGAGAGGUCAAUGGGGAAGGGACAGGCCCAUCCUCAUUUAUAUGUCCAUCCCUCCUACCUGCUCCACCACAAUCGCUUGCAUUCUCUGCUCCACCACCCCACUACGGCUUUGAUAGUUGGUCAGGAACGGCAUGAGAGUAGCGUCGCCGCCGCCUUGCAACGGCGCGUCAACCUCGAAGAGAACAGCGACGCUUUUAGAAUGCCGUGCAAUGACGGUAGUAGAAAGCGGGCGCUGGCGUCGUCCGCAGCAGCGACGGCGAACUCGACGUCGGACGUCGGCGUCAACGUCGACGUCGUAGUAGACGGCGUUGCUGACAGCAGCGUCCAGGGCGCCGGCGAAGGAAACGAAGACGACGUCCCGGACGGAGGACGUGGUCGUAAGCGCUUAUUGACGAACGCUGCUAACUUCUCAAUGUCGUUAUCACCAUCAUCAUCAUCAUUACCACCACCACCAUCAUUGUCGUCGUCAUCAUCAUCAUCAUCAACACCAACAACAGCAACACUAACCGAAGCAGCUCAAACGGACCCAGACACCGAUACCGUUGCUGCUGCUGCUACUGUUGUUGCUAGUACUGCUGCUGCUGCUGUUUUUGUUGCAGCAAAUGCUGCUGCUGCUGCUGCUGCUAAACCAAGAUCCACAACUGUCUCACCUGCACUGUUAGUGACGCCGUGUGCACCGACCGGCUGCAGUGUUGCUGCAAGUAUUGGCGUUGGUGUUGGUGCUGUUGGUGGU
rnacentral:lncRNA from 1 species